GAUGAACGCUGGCGGCGUGCCUAAUACAUGCAAGUCGAGCGAACGGACGAGAAGCUUGCUUUUCUGAUGUUAGCGGCGGACGGGUGAGUAACACGUGGAUAACCUACCUAUAAGACUGGGAUAACUUCGGGAAACCGGAGCUAAUACCGGAUAAUAUUUUGAACCGCAUGGUUCAAAAGUGAAAGACGGUCUUGCUGUUACUUAUAGAUGGAUCCGCGCUGCAUUAGCUAGUUGGUAAGGUAACGGCUUACCAAGGCAACGAUGCAUAGCCGACCUGAGAGGGUGAUCGGCCACACUGGAAAUGAGACACGGUCCAGACUCCUACGGGAGGCAGCAGUAGGGAAUCUUCCGCAAUGGGCGAAAGCCUGACGGAGCAACGCCGCGUGAGUGAUGAAGGUCUUCGGAUCGUAAAACUCUGUUAUUAGGGAAGAACAUAUGUGUAAGUAACUGUGCACAUCUUGACGGUACCUAAUCAGAAAGCCACGGCUAACUACGUG
rnacentral:rRNA from 1 species